AACGUAGGACGCGAGCGUUAUCCGGAGUUACUGGGCGUAAAGCGCGGGCAGGCGGUCUGCUAAGUGGGAUGUGAAAGCGCUCGGCUAAACCGGGCGAGGCCAUUCCAAACUGGUGGACUGGAGGGCAGUAGAGGUGGGUAGAAUUCCGGGUGGAGUGGUGAAAUGCGUAGAGAUCCGGAGGAAUACCAGAGGCGAAGGCGGCCCACUGGGCUGCACCUGACGCUGAGCCGCGAAAGCCAGGGGAGCGAACGGG
rnacentral:rRNA from 1 species